AGUUUCACAUAAGGUUUAAACAUUAAACAGGAAAUAAGUCAUAUAUUGACAUUUAUGUUCAUUGUUAUUUUAUAGUUUGACCUUAGUCUCCGUCUAAAUUCGAACUAUGCAUAACGACAUAUCAACUUUAACAGUUAAUUCCCAUAUACAGCAAAAGGUCCUCGAAAUGUUCUACAUUUUCCCUUUCUUUGUAAUGGAACAUUUAAAACUGCAUAUAAACAAACUCCCACAUAGUGACAAUCUCAUAUAAAGUCCUAGUAUGGUUAGUUAUUAUUCUAUGUUCUAAGGAGAUUCCACGCUUACUAUAAUAACUGCAUUGUUCUAAAUUAAACUCAAUGUAACCCUUAUGGUUAUCUAACGAAUGUGUGCGUGUUCAAAAUUAGUUUGUUUAUGUAUCUUGUCAAGUUCUAAAAGCAAGCAAGUUUCAGUUGGUUUUGCAUCGAACGAUUCAAUUUUUACGGAGCAGUUGCGAUUUUCCAAAUUUCUCCGAAAAUAAGUUCCAUUUGGUGCCGAAAGCGAUCGAGAGGCUAGAGCAGACGCAGGUUCAUAGUAACGUAGUUUUUUUAAAAGGCUGCACCAGAUGCUCCACGGAUGAAUUAUCGACAAAGCUGCCGCAUCCGGAAUACAACCUCGGGCCAUUGCAAGAAAUUAGGAUCAGUAUAUUUCAAAAUGAAAAUUGAAACCGGGAAACCAUUAUGAAAUAUCGCUCACCUGCACAGAGAACACAUGCCUGAUUAGUAUCCAUGGAUCCAGUCUACCAACGGUAGUCCAACCAGUCCAGGUACUGGACAAUUCGGUGAGAUUAUCGAUAAAGGAAAGGUUCCAGAAAGCUGCAAGUGAUCAUUCCUGCACUUCAACGUCAGAAACUCUGGUUAACAACAUCGGGUGGAGAUGGAUCGUACUUGUAGUUCAGUCUGGGAGUUCCCUUCUACCUGCCACGCAAACUGGCCUUGGCAAAACUCGGCUGGACAUCUUCAACGGCGAUCGCGAGGGCGAUCGCGCUGACUUUUGCUACAGCUAGCGAAAUGAGUGCUAUGAUUACCCAAGUACGUAUUAUACUCGCACGGAACACCAAGUAUUCCCACCACCAAACAAGAAGUUGUGGUGUAAAAUUUCGAGAUUAUUCAAAAGAUUACGUCGAGGUGCAUGUGGUUCUUUGGGCCCCUUUCUUCGAUCGAACAUAAUUCUAAUUUCUGUACAUAUAGUGUUUUCUUUUUCGUAUUUUUUAUUAUCUUUAAUAUAAAUAUGCACAUUCAAAUUGAUAUAGAACAGUUAUUAUUGUAUCACGAAAGAAAUUGAGAACAAAAAAAGCAAUAAUCAAACGCAAGGGGUACCGUAGUAUAAAUUUUUCUUAUAUGCUUCAAUUAUAACUCUACAAUAUAGCAUAAUGUUUAAAUUUUCAAGAAAGGAUAAUA